AAGCACGUAGGUGGGUUUGUAAGUCAGAUGUGAAAGCCUCCUGUUCAACGGGAGAAUUGCAUCUGAAACUACUGAUCUUGAGUGUAGGAGGGGAGAAUGGAACUUCUGGUGGAGCGGUGAAAUGCGUAGAUAUCAGAAGGAACGCCGGCGGCGAAAGCGAUUCUCUGGCCUAUUACUGACACUCAGUGUGCGAAAGCUAGGGGAGCAAACGGGAUUAGAUACCCCGGUAGUCCUAGCCGUAAACGAUGGGCACUAAGUAGAGGGGUUUU
rnacentral:rRNA from 1 species